rnacentral:rRNA from 1 species
UACUCUUGACAUCCACGGAAUUUAGCAGAGAUGCUUUAGUGCCUUCGGGAACCGUGAGACAGGUGCUGCAUGGCUGUCGUCAGCUCGUGUUGUGAAAUGUUGGGUUAAGUCCCGCAACGAGCGCAACCCUUAUCCUUUGUUGCCAGCACGUAAUGGUGGGAACUCAAGNGAGACUGCCGGUGACAAACCGGAGGAAGGUGGGGAUGACGUCAAGUCAUCAUGGCCCUUACGAGUAGGGCUACACACGUGCUACAAUGGCAGAUACAAAGUGAAGCGAACUCGCGAGAGCAAGCGGACCACAUAAAGUC